GACGAACGCUGGCGGCGUGCUUAACACAUGCAAGUCGAACGGAAAGGCCCUGCUUUUGUGGGGUGCUCGAGUGCCGAACGGGUGAGUAACACGUGAGUAACCUGCCCUUGACUUUGGGAUAACUUCAGGAAACUGGGGCUAAUACCGGAUAGGAGCUCCUGCUCCAUGUUGGGGGUUGGAAAGUUUCGGCGGUUGGGGAUGGACUCGCGGCUUAUCAGCUUGUUGGUGUGGUAGUGGCUUACCAAGGCUUUGACGGGUAGCCGGCCUGAGAGGGUGACCGGCCACAUUGGGACUGAGAUACGGCCCAGACUCCUACGGGAGGCAGCAGUGGGGAAUAUUGCACAAUGGGCGGAAGCCUGAUGCAGCAACGCCGCGUGCGGGAUGACGGCCUUCGGGUUGUAAACCGCUUUCGCCUGUGACGAAGCGUGAGUGACGGUAAUGGGUAAAGAAGCACCGGCUAACUACGUG
rnacentral:rRNA from 1 species